GAAAUGCGAUAAGUAAUGUGAAUUGCAGAAUUCAGUGAAUCAUCGAAUCUUUGAACGCACAUUGCGCCCGCCAGUAUUCUGGCGGGCAUGCCUGUUCGAGCGUCAUUUCAACCAUCAAGCCCCGCGCUUGUGUUGGGGGCCUGCGGCUGCCGCAGGCCCUGAAAACCAGUGGCGGGCUCGCUGUCACACCGGGCGUAGUAGAUUUUAUCUCGCUCAGGGCGUGCUGCGGGUUCCGGCCGUUAAAAAGCCUUUUUUACCCAAGGUUGACCUCGGAUCAGGUAGGAAGACCCGCUGAACUUAAGC
rnacentral:misc_RNA from 1 species